rnacentral:rRNA from 1 species
CGCCAGACUCCUACGGGAGGCAGCAGUGGGGAAUAUUGCACAAUGGGGGGAACCCUGAUGCAGCGACGCCGCGUGAGUGAAGAAGUAUUUCGGUAUGUAAAGCUCUGUCAGCAGGGAAGAAGAAAGACGGUACCUGACCAAGAAGCCCCGGCUAACUACGUGCCAGCAGCCGCGGUAAUACGUAGGGGGCAAGCGUUAUCCGGAUUUACUGGGUGUAAAGGGAGCGUAGACGGCAGGGCAAGUCUGGAGUGAAAGCCCGGGGCCCAACCCCGGGACUGCUCUGGAAACUGCGGCGCUGGAGUACGGGAGGGGCAGGCGGAAUUCCUGGUGUAGCGGUGAAAUGCGUAGAUAUCAGGAGGAACACCGGCGGCGAAGGCGGCCUGCUGGACCGUGACUGACGUUGAGGCUCGAGAGCGUGGGGAGCAAACAGGAUUAGAUACCCUUGUA